GGCAUAGUAUGCGAUCAAAAGAAUACCGCAGUUCAUCGUCCGAUCGAUUUGAUGAUGCCUCGGUGCAAGAGGCAGUAGGGAUAUCGAUGAGCAUGAUGCAGGAUCAAAUUACUUACUAGAUGAAUCGUAGUCAGACACUCAAGAAGAUAGUGACUGCGAUGGUGAGAUGGCUCGAUAUCGAUACCUCUGAGUUAGCAUCUCUACAGCCGC
rnacentral:lncRNA from 1 species